AUGCUUAGGCUUAGGCUUAGACUUAGGCUCAAGCUUAGGAUUAGGCUUAGACUUAGGCUU
rnacentral:sRNA from 1 species